GACGAACGCUGGCGGCGUGCUUAACACAUGCAAGUCGAACGGAAAGGCCUCUUUCGGGGGGUACUCGAGUGGCGAACGGGUGAGUAACACGUGAGUAACCUGCCCUUGACUUUGGGAUAACUUCAGGAAACUGGGGCUAAUACCGGAUAGGAGCUCCUGCUGCAUGGUGGGGGUUGGAAAGUUUCGGCGGUUGGGGAUGGACUCGCGGCUUAUCAGCUUGUUGGUGGGGUAGUGGCUUACCAAGGCUUUGACGGGUUGCCGGCCUGAGAGGGUGACCGGCCACAUUGGGACUGAGAUACGGCCCAGACUCCUACGGGAGGCAGCAGUGGGGAAUAUUGCACAAUGGGUGGAAGCCUGAUGCAGCAACGCCGUGUGCGGGAUGACGGCCUUCGGGUUGUAAACCGCUUUCGCUCAUGACGAAGCUUUGUGUGACGGUAGUGGGUAAAGAAGCACCGGCUAACUACGU
rnacentral:rRNA from 1 species